AAAGAGUGGCAUCAGUGAGCAAGACACGAUGCUGAGCUGGCCCUUCUCUUUGCAUAGACUGGAGCAGUAGUGAUGACCUUCUGUGUCAGGGCAUUAGCAGGGAAGUCACUGGCUUGGACUCCUUUGCUUUUCUCCUCACCUUUGCUCUAGGAGUGGAGAUGCCUAUGCAGUGGCCCACAAACAGCGAGCGCGAUUAAAAAGAGAAGGCCUUAUGAUGUAUCAAGUCCUUAAUGAAGCACUAACACCCAAGUUGUGAUUUUUUUUCUUUUUUACUCACAAGAUUGGUGUCCACUAAACUAUGACAAGCCGUAGACGGCUCAUUUCUCUGAUCAGAUUGGUCCUGGCAUGAACAGAUUGAAUGAAGCUAAGACUGUGGUCUCAGACUUUGCCCAGACUUUUAGGAUCAUUCUCUCAGGGCCACUGAAGAUGUUACUCAUCCCUGCUAACCUAUCGGCCAUGAACCAGGACUGAUGGAGAGACGUGUGCCACUCUGGCUUGUCUUUGUUUACAGCUGGGAAAGUGUCUCAAAGACACUCCCUCCCUUCUUACUUGUAGUCUUAGUUCCCUCUAGUAUAUUCUCUGUACUGUUCUGCCUCAGCCUGUCGGUUUUGAAGAGCUUCCCUGCUUUAGGAUAUAUGCAUAUUCUGUCUUCCUGCAUAGAAUUCGGGCCCCUAUUCCCUUUCCCACCCUGAGUCCCUGGUAGAGUCUGGCUGUAAAUGCUACUACCUUAAUGUUCCCUCAGCCUUACUUAUGCUCCCAAACUAAGGAGCAUUCCCCCAUUGUGUGCUCUCUUCUCAGGCUGUACUGCAAUCCAUUGUUUUCAUAGCAUUUACUACAAUGAGAAAAUUAUCACUAGUGUACCAGCUACCGUCAUUUGCCCUAUCAAAAUACAAGUUUAUUGCGGCUUAUGGAACAAACUGGCUUGCUUUGACAAAGCCUAGCAAAGUUCACAUACACAAGGUUCUAAAAAUCUAUCUGCUAGGACUAAGGAGUUGGCUCACAGAUAAAGCACUAGUUGUGUGUGUGUGUGUGUGUGUGUGUGUGUGUGUGUGUGUGUUUACAUUAUAGAUAGACACAAAUGCAUAAUAGGGGGCAGAGACAGGGAUCCCUGAAGCAAGAUGGCUAGCUAGACUAUCAGAAUCAAUGAACUGCAGGUUCAAUGAGAGACCCCGCCUUAAUGUAUAAGGGGGAGAAAAAUCAAGGAAGACACUGGACAUCAUCCUCUAUCUCCACAUGCACAUCCCCUCUCUCUCUGUCUCUGUCUCUGUCUCUCUCCCUCUCUGUCUCUCUGUCUCUGUCUCUUUCUGUGUGUCUUUGUCUGUCUGUGUGUGUGUCUCUCUCUGUCUGUCUGUCUCUCCUUUCCUCCAUCUCCCUCCCCCACUCACACACACAUACAGACACACACAUAUGCAUACAACACAUGUGCAUAUAUAUUAAAAGCCUAUCUACGGGAGAGGCUUGGGAACUAGCUCAAGCAACAAGAGCCUAGGUUUGAGCCCUAGAACCCACAUAUAAAAGUCACACACAUUGUAAUCCAGGGCUGAGGAGGGAGAGACAAGCAGAUUCCUGGAGCCCACUGGCCAGGCAGCCUAGCUGAAUCCAUGAUCCCAGGUCAGUGAGAGACUUUUACUCAAAAAAGGGGGAAGGUGUAGAUAACCCCUAAGGAAUGGUAUCUGAUCUCUUACACACACACACACACACACACACACACACACACUUGAGCCUAUAUGAAGAUGUACACACACAUACCUCUGGCCUCCACAUGAAUGUACACAUACAUAGACAUGCAUGAACAUGCAAACACGCAUGCACAACAACAACAACAAAAAUCUGCAGAAGAAUUGGGGUUCUCUGUCACCUUAAUGAUAAAUAGAGUCCUAAAAUUCUCCUUUCUGAAAGAUCCUCUGCUCCAGCUCUGAUGGUUUGUGUGGAACAUCACACCAUCACAAUGGAGCUGCACAACAGAAAUGAGCCCCUUCUGACAGAAGUUCACACUGUGAUAUUUUCAGUUGAUCGUAUUGAGUAAGACUAGCUCAGUGUAAUUUUGUGAGGACAAACUUCUCAGCGCUCUCCUAAAACUUAUUUACCCGUCUCAGGGAACAAAGGCUUCGAAACCUAUGAAGCCAGCAGCAUCGGAUCUCCCUGUUCCUGCCGAGGGCGUCCGCAAUAUCAAGAGCAUGUGGGAGAAGGGGAGCGUGUUCUCAGCCCCCUCUGCCUCAGGAACACCCAAUAAGGUACGGGCGUGGCUCUCAAUGGGUUAAGCUUUGAAGUAUGGAAUAUUUUUUCCCAUGUGUGUUAGGAAUUGCUACAAUUCACUACAAAUACAAUAAAGAAUGUAUAAUCUGCACUUGGAUUUGCCGCCCCUCCCCCAAAACAAACAAACAGAAAAUGAAGCUCAUAGAGAAUGGAUUCAUGGGGUUUCCCUAUGUGCUCUGCCAUGGCCAUGGCCACUAAGUGAAGUGUUUGAGUUUAAUUAUCAUCCAUUAGCAGUGGGGUGGGAUGAAGGGACAUGAAAGAAAAAUUGAUAUUCCUUUUUUAUGAUUUAUUUUUAUUUUAUAUGUAUGGGUGUUUUCCCUGUAUGUAUGUACCUGUGCACUGUGUGCAUGCCACGUGCUUGCAGAAGUCAGAAGAGAGUGUUGGAUCCUCUGGGACUGGAGUUACAGAUGGUUGGGAGCCACUAUGUGUGUCUGAGAAUUUAACCUGGGUCCCCUGGAAAAGCAGCCCAUUCUCUUAACCACUAAGCCAGAAUUUUCACCCUUCCAAUGUGGGAGACAUCAAGAGGGACAAAAAUCAACACAAUAAAUAUACAUUACAAAGGAGAGUUUAUUAAAUCGGCUUAUAUAGUGGAGGCUGGAUUAACAGUGGUCAGCUGCACACUGGAGGUGGCUGUUUGGCCCCUCAGUACUGGAAGCUUCAGCAGUCCCAAUCUGGUGACGAAGGCGGGGCUUUAGUCCCCAUUGGAAAGGUGAAAACACUAGGUUUCCAGGGCAUCGAAGGAAGGCUGGUUACCAAAACAACAGGACAGAUACACUUCCUAGCAAGCCAUGAAGCAAACAGAUAAAGCAGCCCCUCUUCAUAUCUAGCCAUGGCCAGAGGGCGCUGCCAUCUUGAGAUGGGACACUAAGUGUCUCUCCCCAUCAUCUCUAGUUAAUCCUUCAGUCAAGUUGACAAUCAAGAACAAUCGCAGAUUAAGGAUAUCUUAAAGUUUACUCAGAUUGUUUUUUUUUGUUUGUUUGUUUGUAGGAAACUGCUGGCCUGAAGGUGGGAGUUUCCAGCCGCAUUAACGAAUGGCUAACUAAAUCACCAGAUGGCAACAAGUCACCUGCUCCCAAGCCUUCUGUAAGUAGCCCAGGGAUUUCUGAGUCUCUGAUCUCACAACUUCCACAGGAGAAUGGAAGAGCAGUUGGCUCACUUGCCUAGGAAAGACGGCUUUCCUGCUGCUGCCACUGCUGCUGCCGAACGCACAGAGGUCAUGUCCCUUCAUCCCAUGUCCCUUCAUCCCAUGUCCCUUCAUCCCAUGUCCCUUCAUCCCACCCCAGUGCAGACUCAGAGCACCGAAGUAGCUGAGUCACGAUUACCCACAAGCUAAGACAGAGCCUGGCCUGUCUGAGUCAGGGGGGAACCAUGAUGAUAUUGGGGCUCUUCAGUUAAGAGCCUCUGCGUUUGUCACUUUUUUCCUUUAGUUAUAUAUUUAUUUAUCUACCUAUUUAACUGGCUUCUAUUCAACAAAUCAAACACAAGAAUUUGAACACAAAAGUCAUACGACUUUGGCUACUUUUCUGUUCCAAGUAUUCCAAAACUUAUUCCCAAAACAUUGUGUAUUUUGACUAUUUUGAGACCGUGUUUUCUAAUUUUACCUGAUUUCUAUAACAACACAAAAUACAGUUAUUGAGCAGCUAUUGAAAUAUUUGCCUUUAUAUAUAUUUUAUUAUAUAUGUAAUAUAAAUUGAAUAAUUUGUUAUCAAUACAUGC
rnacentral:lncRNA from 1 species